CCUACGGGAGGCAGCAGUGGGGGAUAUUGCACAAUGGGGGGAACCCUGAUGCAGCGACGCAGCGUGGGUGAAGGAGCUUUUCGGCGCGUAAAGCCCUAUCGGCAGGGAAGAAGGCUGACGGUACCUGACUACGCAGCCCCGGCUAACUACGUGCCAGCAGCCGCGGUAAUACGUAGGGGGCGAGCGUUAUCCGGAUUUACUGGGUGUAAAGGGUGCGCAGACGGCAGCGCAAGCCAGGAGUGAAAGCCCGGGGCUCAACCCCGGGACUGCUAUUGGAACUGCGAGGCUGGAGUGCAGGAGGGGUAGGCGGAAUUCGUGGUGUAGCGGUGAAAUGCGUAGAUAUCAGGAGGAACACCGGUGGCGAAGGCGGCUUGCUGGACUGCGACUGACGUUGAGGCCCGAAAGCGUGGGGAGCAAACAGGAUUAGAUACCCGUGUAGUC
rnacentral:rRNA from 1 species